CACGUAGGGGGCGAGCGUUAUCCGGAUUCAUUGGGCGUAAAGCGCGCGCAGGCGGGCGCCUAAGCGGGACCUCUAAUCCUGGGGCUCAACCUCAGGCCGGGUCCCGAACUGGGCGCCUCGGGUGCGGUAGGGGCAGGCGGAAUUCCCGGUGUAGCGGUGGAAUGCGCAGAUAUCGGGAAGAACACCGACGGCGAAGGCAGCCUGCUGGGCCGACACCGACGCUGAGGCGCGAAAGCUAGGGGAGCGAACAG
rnacentral:rRNA from 1 species